rnacentral:lncRNA from 1 species
AUGGUUGUGUCGUUGUUGACGCUGGCGACGAGUCUGACAAUUAUCGAGCACAACCCAGGGAAGAGGCUGACGUGGGCUAUCGGACUGAGCAUCGCCAUGGUGCUGUCGUACGUAUCGACGUUCUCAAUCGGGAUGGGGCCCAUCACGUGGGUGUACAGCUCCGAGAUUUUCCCGUUGAGGCUACGCGCGCAGGGUGCGAGUNNNNNNNNNNNNNNNNNNNNNNNNNNNNNNNNNNNNNNNNNNNNNNNNNNNNNNNNNNNNNNNNNNNNNNNNNNNNNNNNNNNNNNNNNNNNNNNNNNNNNNNNNNNNNNNNNNNNNNNNNNNNNNNNNNNNNNNNNNNNNNNNNNNNNNNNNNNNNNNAAAGAGAAAAGCUAAUUAAUGAAAAUGGAAAAAAUUGUUUGAGAGUUAUGAAUUUUAAGUUACAAACUGGUUCUUGCCAAAAAAACAAACAGCUUAGAAGGCGUAAGCCCUUAUUAUUGAAUUCCACAGUUUGGAUUCAAAUCCUAUUAUCCACAGGGAUAGAAGUAAAGGACAAGUUUAAUUAAGCAAAGUUCGGUGGUAGGGUGAUAUGAUGUGUGAUUGGGUCGUCGGAUAUGUCGGUGAUGGUGUUCGUAUGUGAUUGUUUCGCAUUACAGUAGAGAAGAGUCAAGUGGGUCUUGUUUUUUUUAUGCGUGAGUUUGAAUUGGUUACCAAGAACAGGGACUAAAAAAGGAGGGCUUCAGUCGCCUCUCGUUGGCAUAUGCUAAAUUGGGUUCACUUUAAGGUCCAGUUGCAUUAGGUAUGGCCAGCCCGUAUGCCAACCAAAAGCUCCUAAUCCAUGGCAACUGUUUUCCUAGGCGUCUGUCUAGCUAAGGCAACUUGGCGAGACUUUUAACUUGUACAAGUAAGUUCUUAAAAACGAAAGAGACUAAGCCGAAGCAUGUGUCCUUUCAACAUUACUAAAUCUAUAGUUAUUUACUUGUAAGAGUUGAAGAAAUUUUUUUUAAAAAAUUAAUACGUAAGGAGUUUUAUAGUUUGUAACUCUUUAGUUGAUUACAGGGGCAGUUGGGCCAAUUGACAAGGAAUUUGUCAGAUGAACAAACUAUGAGAGGCCCAAUUGAACAAUCGUUUCUUAGAACAAUUAAUUGUCAGCAUCACUGCAUACCCAUGUUUGAAUGAUUUAUGAAAAAUAUAGAAAAUAAAACUGUGAGACAAGGCAGCAUCACUAAACUCAUGGGUUGGCGGCUAUAAGCAGGUCGAAUCGUAAAAAUGGUGCAGAGGGUAGUAGGAGAAGAAUAAGUAACCGGGGUUCGUGACAUCUUAGAGCCUGCAGCAGCAGUGGCACGAAGAAGGUGAGUUGGUUGAGGAGUAAGAAUGGCCCUUACACCAUUCUCCUUUGGAAUCAGGCUGAAGACACUCCAUCCCAUCAUUUCAAAGAUAACCAGACACUGAUUCACCUGCAAAUAUACAAUCACUCGUGUCCUUGUUAAUUUAUAUCACCUCCCAUUUCGAGUUUACUUGUUAAAAUAUCAAUGAUAUGUAUAUGUAAGGUGGCACAUUCAUUUUAUCUCCUCUUUUCGGAUUGUUCUUGCGUGAUUUUCCAAUCAGAAGUAAAUUAUUUACCCUAAUUAUGUUAGCAUUGUAGAACUCUUCAUAAACUUCUUUUUUAUUUCAAUACUGAUUUAAAAUUUUAGAUUAUGAAUGGCUAAUGACCAUUGCUUAUGUGAACUGUCUUAACCAUUUUAACUAAUAGGAUCAUUUUAGAUUCUAUUAAAAUAAUCAUAAUAUGUAAAGAAAAGGGAUAAGGUUGACUAGAAAAAAAAAAGCAGCAACACCAACCCUUUGCUCAAGGUAAACCACGACCAACCAAGCCACGCCCACCACAAAUCAAGCCAUGGCUGACACAUCUCACAUCUGGCAUGUGACUUAGAAACCCUUAAGUUUACUUUUUUCAAACUCUUGUGUUUAUAACUAGAAAAUGCCAAGACCCAGUCAUUAUAUUACAGUUUCAAGUCAAAAUCCUGACAUCGCAUACUUCCUUCUUAGGCUCUUGGUCCCCCCUCCUCCCCCAUUCUGCUUGAUUUCUGAACCCAAAUUCAAUUACUGUAGCCAAACCUGAAGAAUGAGAAAGAAACCGCAGUGUCCCUUUGCUAUUUUUGGCAGUUUAGUAAAUUUUAUGUGAUUAAGAUAUCAGGAUUUUAGACCACAAAGAAAACAAAAGAAAAAAAAAAUGUUAUAAUUGUGAGGUUGCAAGACUUUUGCCUCUUGAUUUCUGAGGAAGACCGACUUCAGAUGAGCCAAUUCACAAUUCCCUGUGGACAAGGCCGUCCAUGAUGGAGAGACAUAAUUGCAAUUCGUAUAACCAUGUCUUGGAAAUUACAAGAAGACAUGUCUAAAACUGUAACUUGAAUUUCAAAGAAACAAAAAAAACUCAAAAUUCAACGCAUGUGAAGUAGACCAAAGUUGCAUAAUCCAAUUCUCAUGAAUGCACGUGGACCCAUUUUGGAAGCGACCCGACCCUUGUUCUUGUCAGCGGAGGGACUGGGUUCGUUCACGUCUCCAAUCACCAACCUCCCUUCCCACAUCCUUGGACUUCAUUACCCUUGGAAUUUUCACUCAUAUUCUUUUUAACCCAUAUAUAUAUAUAUAUAUAUAUAUAUAUAUAGAUGCGAGAACCAAGAUGGGGGGAAUCAGUAUAUCUGGAAAUGUAUUAUAUAUAUAUAUAUACAUAGGGUUGCAUUAUUGAGGUAUUGAAAUAAUAUAGUUUGCUUACAAAAAAUAUUUACAUACAAUCAUCAGUGGUAUAUGUGUAGUAAUAUUGCCAAACAAAGUUGCUUACUUAAUUUAAUAUCUCAAUAAUAUAAUGUGAUAACAUAAUAAAUUUUUUAAGAGAUCUAGCAAGGACAUAAGUAUCUGUACAUUAUCUCCAUUGAUGCCUCAUCCCUGUCUAACUGUUCUCUUUACUCGAGCAAACUUUCUUCUCUCUCUGAAUCCGCUCUUUGUGAUUUCUCCAUAUGGGAUCCGGCUGAAACUCUCUUGUUUCUUAAUAUUUCAGUAUUCUGUCAACUAAGAAUGAACAGUUGAUCAUUCCUCACCAGAACCACAACUCAUUUUACUCUCUCAACUCCCAAUUCAACCAUACAAUCAGAUUUACUAUAAUUAUCCAAAAUACGACCCUCAAUUUCGGGAUUUAGAACUCAAAUUAGUCUUACCUUCUGCCACCGUGUGGAUAUUCACUUGCAACGCCAGUCCUCUCUCUCAAGUCCUCCUUGGCGACGUUGUAACGCGACGCUGCCGACGCCUCUUUAGAUCUUCGUACUCUUUCCGCCCAUCCUUUUCUCGAUCAGACUAGCUACUUUUAAAAUCUUACUUCCUCUUUAGACUCUUGCACUUGUUCGGCUUGCUCUCCUCCCCAUCGAUCUCAAUAUCUCUCUCUCGCGGUCGACCCUUUCUCUUCUGUUAGGGUUGCUCCCUCCCCAGUAAAGUUGGCGAUUAUAUUUCAUGUAACUCUUAUCCCUUUAUCUUCUUUUACGCAUGACUUACCUUAUUGCUUAUUCUCUUCGUAUACCUUUUCUUAUCAAUGACAUCAAGUUUUUUGUUAGAUCGUAAUGAUGGAAAAAUAUUCGUAUAUAUACACAGACAUAAACUGUAUAUAUACACAUGUAUAUGUAUAUAUGUAUAUAUAUAUGUAUAUAUGUAUAUAUGUAUAUAUAUAUGUAUAUAUGUAUAUAUAUAUGUAUAUAUAUAUGUAUAUAUGUAUAUAUGUAUAUAUAUAUGUAUAUAUGUAUAUAUAUAUGUAUAUAUAUAUAUAUAUAAGGUUAUUCAUGGUUAAGGCACGAUGAUAAUAUAAGAAAAUGUCCAAAAAAUAGUAGAGGAAAAGAAAGAGUUUUUGGCAAGUCGAUAUGUACAUCUAUUCAUUUUCCCUAAUAUACACCACAAAUUUAACGUAAUCAUUUUUUAUAUUAUUGUGAACUCUUUAAAUUUCAUGGAGUAUGGAUGUUCAUACAUCUUUACAUUUAUACCUCUUUUUCUUUCAUAACCUUUUUAUUUAUUUUUAAUUUAAUUUGUGGUUAUGAUAUGUUGAAUUUAAAAAAAAAAUAAAUUCAUGACUAUUUCUUUUGGUUACAAAGCCUUUAAAAAAAACGAAGAACUCCUCGAACACAUCUUGGACAAAAAAAUUUCUAGGACAUCAUUAGUGAUAAGUUGUUGGAGAUCAUCUGUCACGUGAGCAUGCAGAUGAAGACUAAGCUACAACGUGAAGCCAAAAUUCGCCAACUAGUCAAUGCAUUUAUUCCUUUUUGCGAUAUGCAUGUUGAACUUUGAUACGUCAGUCCUUCAAUAACAAGUGUUUGAUAUCACAAACGAGAGUAGUAUGAAUAUUAAUGCAAUAAUCAUCAUUGGUAAGUAAUUGCACAGCUAGAGAACUAUCCAUCUCAAGAAUAAUGUUGCACUAUUUAACAUUCCAUGCGAGUUGGAGUCUAUCUAAAACCCCCCAAAGCUCGGUCUGUAACACAAAGUAACCACUAAUUUUUCUAUGAAAGCUUUUUAAGUACCCUCCAUCCUCGUAUCUGAUAAGGUCACUGCAGUAGGAAAGAUUCAUGUUAGCACGAUGGGCUCCAUUAGUGUGCAUUUUGACCCAAUUCGAGGGGUGUGUCUACCAUCUAAUAAGCUCUUCAGAUCUUCGACUCGUACCUAGAAAAACAAAUUUAUUCAUAGUGUUAGUCAUAAGAGUAUAAUCAAUCAUGAGAAAAAUUUCCUUAACUUGAUCAUCAACACUACUAACAAUCCUUUAGAAAGUAAAAUUAUUCAUGUGAUUCCAAAGUUUCCAGCAUGUUAGACUAAAGGUCACACACUAAUCUUGAAAAUUCUCGCAUAAGACUAAUUAUUCUUGAGAUUCAUCAUGAACCAAUCGUUUAUAAUAUCCUUGAAAAAGUAUAUUUGAGCUUCUUGAGGAAUGAUUUUAGACCAAAGUAGUCUAGCUUUACUGCAACCCCAGAGAUGUGAUCACAUCCACAUAGUACUGCCACACAUAUNNNNNNNNNNNNNNNNNNGUCGGUGCCUCUCCUAAUUUUCAAAAGCUUUUCUUUCCACUACUAACCGAAAGAAAGUACGCACAUGUUAAGCUCCUGGCCAAUGCCAAAUGCCUUUCAUUUCUUAUCCUCUGUGUUCCAAUGAUUAUUAUAUGGAAGAGGAUAAGUAGAACUAACUGAAAACUCUCUUGAACUCAUCAUGUCCGAAUAACAAAAGUCAGGAAGAUUGUCUUCAUCAGGAAUCUACACUACUGCCAUCUAGAGAAGAAUACUCAUCGACAACAUAUGGUGAAAAGCACUUUAAUUCCAUUGGUCAAAUAGCACAACGAAGUUCCUAACAUAUUUUUAGAGCUCAUGCUCAUUAAUAGGAGCAUAAGCCAAUAACUUAAGAGGCCCAAAAUCACCUAACCAUCAAUCUUUCCAUAAUCUAACAUUUCUCCCUAAGCCAAUGAAUUAUUUGGUGCCCAUUUUAAGGUUUGUUCAAAGAUGGUUUAGAUUGCACCAAAAGUGAGAUGUUUGCCCAUUCAUAAUAAAAUUCUAUGACAAUCCUUGCCAUCUAUAUUUAUGAGUGAGAACCUGGACCCAUAAUGGGAUGGUCAUAAGAACAAACUUAGCUGAAGUCAACUGCCCUACCAAAGAGAAAACAUUAGCAUUCUAACCAGAUAAUGAAUGGUUGAUUUUCUCAAAGAUGUAAUUAUAAGUAUCUUUAUUCACUCUAUCAUUCAGCAAAAAAACUCCCAAAUACUUACCAAGAUUGCUUGAGACCUAAAAACCAAGAUUAUUGCUAAUACAUCUAGCCUCACCUAAAUUGACAUUGCGAGAAAAAAAAUAAAUGUGUUACUCACACUCACUUUGUAAUCCGAACUAGCACAAAAUUCAUCCAAAGCCUUCUUAAUAAUCUAAGUCUGACAAUCCUUGACUUUCCUAAAAAUCACUAAAUUAUCCACAAAAAAGAUGUGUGAAAGGGCAUGGUUAUUUUUACCAAGAUGGAUAGGCUUUCAAAUAUUAUUGUUCAUUAAUCUAUUUAUACAAUGAGAUAGUUGCUCCAUACAUAAAACAAAGAUGUAGGGUGAUAACGGAUCACCAUACCUAAUACCUCUAGUAGGCUGGAAUUCAUUAGCAAGAUAACCAUUCCACAAUAAUUGAAUGGUGCAAAAUGAAAUACAAUGCGUAAUCACUCUAAUAAGAUUAAGAGGAAGACCAACAUAUCAACAUAUCCUCCAUAAACUCCCAAUGGAGCAUAUCAUAAGCUUUUUUAAGGUCAAACUUAAUUGUCGCCCACUUGUCUUUUUCUUUCUUAAUCCGCAUUGAAUGUAUUAUCUCUUAGGCAAUAAUAAUAUUGUCUGUGAUACUUUGCCCUGCUACAGAAUUAGCUUGAGUUGGACCAAUCAAAAAAGGCAUAGGACCCUUAAGUUAAUUAACAAUUAGUUUAGUUUCAAUUUUACAUAAAACUUUCAACAAACUAAACAGUCAAAAUUCUUUUAUACUCUCAGGCUUUACAACUUUCAAAAUAAGAGCAAUAAGGGUCUUAUUUAUAUCAACUGGCAAAUGUUCACCUUGAAAAAUUUCUUUGACCAUAACACAGACCGAUUCACUUACAAUACCCCAUUGAUUUUGGAAGAAACCCACUUAAAGAUCAUCGUUCUCGAGGGCCUUCAUAGGGUUCAUAUCAAACAAAGUAUCAUGAAUUUCUUAGUCUGCCACCCCAGAAGCUAACUUAACUACCAUAACUUCCAUUAGCUUAGGGAACGAACCUCUCAUGUGAUAUUUAGGAAGGGAUCCCUCAUCAACUGUAUACGAGUUCUUAAAAACGGAAGAUACCAUCAUAUUAAGUUGUCCACCAUUCAUAAUCCAAACACCAUCCCCAUCUUUUAACAUGCUAAUUUUAUUCUUUUUUCUGCUAGAGACGGUUUAAGAGUGAAAAUAUUUGGUAUUCCUAUCCUNNNNNNNNNNNNNNNNNNNNNNNNNNNNNNNNNNNNNNNNNNNNNNNUGAUAUGACCAAACACAUUCAAGUUCUAAUCUGUACAAAAGAAAUAAAAUUAUUAAUAUUAUCUUGAAUAGAAAGGUUGUUACUCCAAUUCCUCCCAACUAAGUUAGGGAAACAAGGUGGAAGAACUAUGUAGCAAGAAAACGAAAAGGUUUAGGGUCAUUAUUAAAAGAACAACUACUAUAAGGAAUGAUUAAAAUAAGCCUAUUAUCUGAAUGCACUUUAGAAAAAUGAUGAACUAUGACCUCAAGAAAUUUACUACACCAUCUUUGAUUAUAGAUGGCUCUAUCAAACCACAAAAAUAAAGUCUCACAUUGCCAUAUAAAAUUUGGACCUAUAUAAUCAAGCUGCGAUAAGGAAUUAACAUUAAUAAAAUGGUUAAAAAGGAUACAGCCUCUAGGUUGCUGGGAAACUCCUCAUUUCUGGUAUGUCGCUUCCAAGAUGAUGUUAAAAUCGCCUGCUAGGAUCCAUGUUUCAUCAAGAUGCUACCAAUAAAAGUUAACUCCUCCCAUAAGUUUUUACGCUUUUGAUAAUUUAGAUUAUCAUUGGCGAUGGAUAUAAGGAAGUCUUCUCUUUCAUCAUUCUUACUAAUCCUGAAAUGAAUAAAUUGAUAGUGAUUAUAUUCAAUAUUAAUAUAAAUUAGAUCAUUCCACAUCAACCAUAUUCCUCAAGAAAAACUGGUCGCUCCAAUUUUGUGAGAGUAAUCAAAACCCAAGCUUUUAAUCACUUUAUCCGCUUUCACACCUGCAAUUCUAGGCUCCAACAAUGCCAUCAAAAAUGGAUUUAUGAAUUUUCACAAAAGACUUAAUGACAUGCCUGAAGCCAGCUUUUGCUGCACCCUGUCAAUUUCACACUAAAAAAAAGCAAUUCAUUAGAUAAUAUUAAUAAAUAAAAGGAAACAAGGCACAACAAUUACAUUUCCUCAAUAUGAAGAUCAUCACCUAUACACGAAAGAAUACUCUUAUCCGCAUCAGAGAGCUCUUUGUUGACCCUUAGUCUAUUAGGGGGUUUGGCUACCGUCUUGAAUAUAUCCUUUAAUGAAAGAGAUGAUGAUGUAGGACUUGGGAAAGAAGCCAAGUUAUUUUCUUAACUUUAGACUAUCUUGUCUUUAAUAAUUACCACCGUAUUUUUUUUAAGGUUCCAGUAUAGUAGUACCAUGACUAAUUACAAAUUUUUUAUUUAGGGGUCUCCUGGCGCCACACACGCUGUUCUUUUUCCUUUUGUCCCGCUAGUCUCUCCUUCUAAACUAAUAUUGGACAUUGCAUGGUCUUGCAUGGCAAGUUCCACGAAUUCAGAAAAUGCUUCCAUAAUAAUCAUAUCAUUUUUUAUCACAACUGGCGCAUUUCCUUUCUUCUAUGACUACUUUUUUAUAUUUUUUUGUAUUUUUUUAUUGCAUUUUUACCAUAGCAUAUAUGAUGUUAAUAGAAAGCCUAACUAUCUAUGAUGUUUGUUGGAAUUUUUCUAAGAUGAAGAAAAUUUCAAUUUUGAUUAACUUCACUUUCUCCUAAAUUAAUAAUUUAAAAUACAUUUAAUUAAGUUUAUAUUAAAUUUAAAUUUUUUAAAAUAAUUUACCAUUAUAUAAGAGAUAAAUAUAAAUCAAAUCUGUUAAAAGAUAAACUCUCAUUAAUAACAUGAUUUUUUUAAAAAUAAAUAUUUUCUAAAUCUAAUUAAAGAUAAAUUCUAUUUGAAUUUAAAUUAAUAAAUAAAAUAAAUUAUAAUUUUUACAUUUAUCUUCAACACUCUUCCAAAAUGUAGAAAUUAUAAUUAUCAAAUUUAUUUUGUUGAAAUACUUCUCUCAAAUGUUUCUUAUUUGAUCUUCAUAUUUUGAAGUAUUUCUCUUUAAUUGUUAAUGCAUUUGUCACAAACCUUCAAUUAUUGAUGCAGUUCUCAUUAAUUUUCAAUUAUUUGAUGCACUUCUCAUUAAUUUUUAAUUAUUUGAUGUAUUUCUCGCCAAAACUAUUUAGAGCACAUCUCUCCAAAUUUUAAAGAAAAGUUUUUUUCUUUAAUAAUAUUUGUUUACUCGUUCUCUAACUUGCAAAUUUUUUUGUAUUUACCCAAAUUGUUUAUAAUAAAAAUAUUGUGAUUUAUUUUUAUGUCAAUAACAUUUUUUCAUUAUGAUUGUUUUUCUUGCAUAUUUCACGGCGAUGAAUUUUUUUUUUUUUUAUGUUGAUGAAGAUUUUUUUGAUAUCUUAGCAAUGAGGACUCCCUCUAUAAUUUUUUUUUCUUAUUUUCCUCAUUGCUUUUCUCUCUAUAUUAUUUUUUCACAAAUUCUUGACCAAUAAAGACUCUAAUAUUACUUGUUAGAAUUUUUUCAGGAUGAAAAAAACUAAAUUUUUAUUGAUUUCACUUAAUCUUAAAUUAACAACUUAAAUUGUUAUAAAUAAAAUAAAUUAUAAUUUUUAUAUUUAUAAUUAUCUUGUAUUUAGAGUAUUAUUUAUCUUUAGUUUUUACUUUUUAAUUUUAAGUACUAUGAUUUAUUUUGUUGAUUAUUAGGAUUUUAGAAAUGGAAAUUACGCGAAGUUGUAAAAAAUAUAUUUUCUGGACAUUUUUGUCCCUCGGUGCAACUUAAGGCUUUAUUUAAUUCCUGCUCUUCACGGCCAAAAACUUCAGAACUUCUGCUUCUACCUCCUCUACCUACCUCUCUCCGUCUGUAGCAGAUAGAGAUCGAAGGAGAUGACAGGCAUGAAACCCCAAAACGACUCCAUUUCUGGGGACCCUUCGCAUGCAGUUGCCAAAACCAUUGAGGAUUUCGAUCCUCCUAAGAAAACAAACAGAAAUAAGUUUGCUUUCGCUUGUGCAGUUCUGGCUUCCAUGACUUCCGUCCUUCUUGGUUAUGGUGAGUUCAUGAUUGGUUUUCAUUGUCAUACUACUCAAGUGUAUGUAUAUACGUAUAGUAAUGGUUGUUGUCUGUGGUUGCAGAUAUCGGAGUGAUGAGUGGAGCAGCUUUGUACAUAAAAGAUGACCUUAAAAUCAACGACCUGCAGAUCGAGUUUUUGGCUGGAACCAUCAACAUCUACUCCUUGGUUGGGUCAUGCGCUGCCGGCAGAACCUCAGACUGGAUCGGUCGUCGUUACACCAUCGUAAUAGCAUGUGCCAUUUUCUUCGUCGGAGCAAUUCUUAUGGGUUUCGCCACUAACUAUGCCUUCCUCAUGUUCGGUCGUUUUGUCGCUGGCGUCGGGGUCGGGUACGCACUCAUGGUUGCCCCCGUCUACACUGCCGAGGUCUCGCCCGCUUCCUCACGCGGCUUUCUCACCUCCUUCCCCGAGGUAAUUAAGAUUUCAAUCUCCACUAACAUACUUCGUUUUAAAACUAUAUUCUUAACGUGGACUUUGUUGCAGGUGUUUAUCAAUGGCGGAAUAUUGUUGGGAUACGUAUCGAACUACGCAUUCUCCAAGUUGCCCCUGCAACUGGGUUGGCGGUUCAUGCUGGGUAUUGGAGCCGUACCGUCAGUGAUUCUUGGCAUAGUGGUGUUGGCGAUGCCGGAGUCGCCGCGGUGGCUGGUGAUGCAGGGUCGACUGGGAGACGCCAAGCGCGUGCUCGACAAAACCUCAGACAGCACGGAAGAAGCCCAGCUGAGACUCAUCGAAAUUAAAGAGGCAGCGGGAAUCCCAGAGGACUGCCAAGACGACGUCGUGGAGGUGCAGAAGCAAUCUCACGGUGAGGGUGUAUGGAAAGAGCUGCUGUUUCAUCCCACGCCGUCCGUUCGCCGCGUUCUGAUCGCCGCCAUUGGCAUCCACUUCUUCCAACAAGCUUCCGGAAUCGACGCCGUCGUUCUAUACUCGCCAAGAAUCUUCGAGAAAGCCGGAAUCACGUCGUCCGACCACAAGCUACUCGCCACGGUAGCCGUCGGAUUCACGAAGACAGUGUUCAUCCUGGUUGCGACGUUUUUGCUGGACAAGAUCGGUCGGCGACCGUUGCUCCUAAGCAGUGUGGGAGGAAUGGUUGUGUCAUUGUUGACGCUGGCGACGAGCCUGACAAUAAUCGACCACAACCCAGGGAAGAAGCUGACGUGGGCGAUCGGACUGAGCGUCGCUAUGGUGCUGUCGUUCGUAGCGACGUUCUCAAUCGGGAUGGGGCCCAUCACGUGGGUGUACACCUCUGAGAUUUUCCCGUUGAGACUACGCGCGCAGGGUGCGAGUAUGGGGGUGGUGGCGAACAGGGUGACGAGUGGGGUAAUAGCGACGACUUUUCUUUCGUUGUCAAAUGGGAUC